rnacentral:rRNA from 1 species
AGUGAACGCUGGCGGUAGGCCUAACACAUGCAAGUCGAACGGCAGCACAGUAAGAGCUUGCUCUUACGGGUGGCGAGUGGCGGACGGGUGAGGAAUACAUCGGAAUCUACUUUUUCGUGGGGGAUAACGUAGGGAAACUUACGCUAAUACCGCAUACGACCUACGGGUGAAAGCAGGGGAUCUUCGGACCUUGCGCGAUUGAAUGAGCCGAUGUCGGAUUAGCUAGUUGGCGGGGUAAAGGCCCACCAAGGCGACGAUCCGUAGCUGAUCUGAGAGGAUGAUCAGCCACACUGGAACUGAGACACGGUCCAGACUCCUACGGGAGGCAGCAGUGGGGAAUAUUGGACAAUGGGCGCAAGCCUGAUCCAGCCAUACCGCGUGAGUGAAGAAGGCCUUCGGGUUGUAAAGCCCUGUUGUUGGGAAAGAAAAGCAGCAGGUUAAUACCCCGCUGUUCUGACGGUACCCAAAGAAUAAGCACCGGCUAACUUCGUG